rnacentral:rRNA from 1 species
CACGCAGGCGGUCGGAUAAGUCAGAUGUGAAAGCCCCGGGCUCAACCUGGGAACUGCAUUUGAAACUGUCUGACUAGAGUCUUGUAGAGGGGGGUAGAAUUCCAGGUGUAGCAGUGAAAUGCGUAGAGAUCUGGAGGAAUACCGGUGGCGAAGGCGGCCCCCUGGACAAAGACUGACGCUCAGGUGCGAAAGCGUGGGGAGCAAACA